rnacentral:rRNA from 1 species
AUUGAACGCUGGCAGCAUGCCUUACACAUGCAAGUCGAACGGUAGAGGGGCAACCCUUGAGAGUGGCGAACGGGUGAGUAAUGCAUCGGAACAUGCCUAAUUGUGGGGGAUAACGUAGCGAAAGUUACGCUAAUACCGCAUAAGAUCUACGGAUGAAAGCGGGGGAUCGCAAGACCUCGCGCAAUUAGAGUGGCUGAUGUCAGAUUAGGUAGUUGGUGGGGUAAAAGCUCACCAAGCCGACGAUCUGUAGCUGGUCUGAGAGGACGACCAGCCACACUGGGGCUGAGACACGGCCCAGAGUCCUACGGGAGGCAGCAGUGGGGAAUUUUGGACAAUGGACGAAAGUCUGAUCCAGCAAUGCCGCGUGCAGGACGAAGGCCUUCGGGUUGUAAACUGCUUUUGUACGGAGCGAAACAGCUCUUCCUAAUACGGAGGGCGAAUGACGGUACCGUAAGAAUAAGCACCGGCUAACUACGUGCCAGCAGCCGCCGUAA